AGUGAACGCUGGCGGUAGGCCUAACACAUGCAAGUCGAACGGCAGCACAGUAAGAGCUUGCUCUUACGGGUGGCGAGUGGCGGACGGGUGAGGAAUACAUCGGAAUCUACUUUUUCGUGGGGGAUAACGUAGGGAAACUUACGCUAAUACCGCAUACGACCUACGGGUGAAAGCAGGGGAUCUUCGGACCUUGCGCGAUUGAAUGAGCCGAUGUCGGAUUAGCUAGUUGGCGGGGUAAAGGCCCACCAAGGCGACGAUCCGUAGCUGGUCUGAGAGGAUGGAUAGAGAAACGGGAAAGGAGAAACGGUCCAGACUCCUACGGGAGGCAGCAGUGGGGAAUAUUGGACAAUGGGCGCAAGCCUGAUCCAGCCAUACCGCGUGGGUGAAGAAGGCCUUCGGGUUGUAAAGCCCUUUUGUUGGGAAAGAAAAGCAGCAGGUUAAUACCCCGCUGUUCUGACGGUACCCAAAGAAUAAGCACCGGCUAACUUCGUG
rnacentral:rRNA from 1 species